UACGAAGGGUGCAAGCGUUGCUCGGAAUUAUUGGGCGUAAAGGGUAGGUAGGUGGUUACGUAUGUCUGAGGUGAAAGCCCCGAGCUUAACUUGGGAAGUGCCUUGGAAACGGCGUAACUAGAGUACUGGAGAGGUUUGUGGAAUUCCCGGUGUAGCGGUGAAAUGCGUAGAGACCCGGAGGAACACCGGUGGCGAAGGCGGCUUCCUGGUCUGCAACUGACGCUGUGGCGCGAAAGCUAGGGGAGCAAACGGG
rnacentral:rRNA from 1 species